rnacentral:lncRNA from 1 species
GCAGGCAUAGCCAGCUGAAAUUCUGAAAGUGGAUUAUGCAUGGAGUAAUGCUGUUCUCAGGAAAUCAGUGAUUUAUUUUAUAAUCUAAAAUUUAAACGUUUUAAUAUACCUCCCAAGAAGAUACCCAGUUCAGAAAACUGCAGAGGAGCCAUGGAACUCAGCAGAAGGCCAGCUCCCUCUCUGGGAGGCCGCCUUCAGGAAACCAAUCGUCCCCCCACCUGAUUCCAAAGGAAUUACAGAAAAAUGGAAAGCCAGGAACAAAAAUCAUAAAUCAUAUUUUCAAUAUGACCUUGUAACGUUAUCCAUGGAUGUUACCUCAGACUUCGUGAUAAGCUGAGGCCCUGACACCAUGUUCCUGUCACCUUCCUGUUGUGGCCAUGAACGAUGCCUUGAGCUCAGCUGUACCUGGAUGCUUGGACUCAGCUGCUGCAGCUCAGAGGCUCUGGACGAGCCCUUCAUCAUCAGGCCAUCUCUUCUGAGAUUCUGCUCAGGACUUGGGCCUGGAUGAUCUGCUGAGCUUCAGUCUCUGCCCUGCUCCCCUCAUGGAGGACCUGAUUCAUCUGGAGCCUCGGACUCCCUAUGUAGUGGUCCCUGGGAUCAGAGCAGCACUCUUGAUGGAAAUGCUGGGCCCUUCGAGGUUAGCUUAAACUGAAGAGAGGAACUUGGUUAGAAUACAGACAUCUCUGAUGCUGUGUCCCGGAUGUUGAGCUUCCAGCUCUGAUGGCACGUUCUGUCAACUCAGCUCUGUUUUGAGUGGAACUGAACACUCAGUGAUGGCUAAAAACAGCAGUUGACUAAACUAAUUAAGCUACAUGUAGACGGUGACGGAGGCGGAAAGAUAGGCCGAGACAGGCCCUUUGGAAAUUAUCCUGAGCAUUCUUCUUUUACAGAAGAACAGUAAAACAGACUUGUUAUUGGCAGCCCAUUAGUGCUCAGGAGAGGCGGUCUCCAGCAUGACAUCAGCCGGCGGCUCGACCCAAAUCUAGUAUUUCACCAGAGAGCCUAACGCUGCUGGCUUUCCAACUGUGUGGAAGAGAAAAUAGCGAACAGCUAUUACAUAUCUGGACUCGGUCUGCGCAAACCACUUCAAGCCACAGCAAAGGAGGCGGCCUUCCAGCCUUGAGCCUGUAGAAGGUUCAUGAAUGGAAACCUGGAUGGAUGGGUUGUGGUCUUGGCCGCUCCACUUCUGCCUGCAGCCCAGGAGGGGGGCCCUGUGUCUCCUGCUCAGGCCUGCACAGGAUACAGGCGUAACAAAGACAAGGAUGAAAUAAGUCCUGUGAUGGAGAGACAAGCAAAAUUCUACCUGACUUCACAGGAGGAAGAAGUGUGCUGUGCCAGGGGGAACAGGAGAAAGCUUCAUGGAAGAGGUGAGCCUUACAAGCCACGUAGGAUUUCAAAAGGGGAGGAUAAUGUUCCGAGGCAAGGAACCAGCAAAACACUGAGGAAUAAAAGUAAAAAUUGUAUCUGGGGAAUGAUGAGUGGUCCCAAAUGAAUGGAGGAGAAAGUUAAGCACCUGUGGGGUGUGUGUGGGGUGUGUAUGUGUUUGUGUGAGUGUGUUGGUGGGAGUGGAAAGUGGAAUUAGGAGUUUUGAGAUGCUUUGUUUUGCAAACCGCAGAUAACCCUUAAAGGUGUUGGAGACUUGUGGAUGGAGUGAGUGGUGAUGCAACCCAACCUAUAUAUUCAUAAUUGACCCUGUAAGCCAUAAAAAGGACAAGCUGAGAAGGGAUGAUAUUAGAGGCAGGAGGACCAGAGGCUACUUCAGUAGCCCAGGUCAGAGAGGAGGAGGACUGGCAAGGCAGAGGCAGUGUUCCUGGAGGGAGGGGAUAGAUGCUGGGGACCCUGCAGAGGUCAGGGGCAGCCAGUCAGGUGUGGUGGGAGGAAGGGAAGUGCUCUCUUCGGGGUGCCUGAGAAGGUGACCAUGGGCAGGACAGAGACUGGCAACUCUGAGAGAGAAAUGGAUUUGGGGAAAGAGAAAAGAAAACACUAGUUACAAUUGGAUACAUGGAGUUGGAGUUGUUGGUGGUGACUGUCAUGAAGGAGUACCCAGGGAAGAGUAAACAGAUAGAUGGAACAAAACAGGAGGAAGGCAGAACUCUGAGGAAUGCCCACAUCUAGGGGAGCCAGUGCAACAGACAACAUGGAACGGCAGGGUUAGUAGGAGACGGGCCAUGAGGAAAAGGGAGGGAAGUUCCAAGAAGAAAGGCUGGAAGGUAUUUCUGAUGCUUCAAGGAGACCCAAGAAGGGGAGAUGGUGAGGCAGUUGGGUUGGGCAAUAAAGAAGUUGAGCAGGGUGUGGGAAGUAGAGGCAGAAAGAUUUUGCACCUGGCUUUAAAGAAGUUUCACCAUGAUGACUGCAUGGAAAGUUUUUUUUGGGUGAUGGGCCCUUGAGCAAUAUUCAAGGAUAAAUAAUAAGGAGGGAGAGAUUGAAAGGCACCCAAGAGGGGACUCUGAUGGAGCAGGAUCAUGGGAGGGGCAGGAAGGGGUGGAGCAGGUGGGCUUGCAAAGCAGCAGGAAGAAGGUGCGAUAGACCAGAGAACAGUUAAGGUAAAGACAAGGGGGAGCGAGGGUGCAGGCAGCCUGCCGGGGAAGGAAACAAUGAGAUCCUAUGCUGAGAGUGAGGGCUGGGGAUGAAGGUGAUGGGAAGAGAGAAGUGGCUUGGAAAUUUGAGGCAGGGAGGACACGGAACAGAAAGUCAGGCAGGAAUGAAUAAUAGGGCAUUGAGAAGCUGAAGAUGGAAGCCCGGCUCUGCAACAUCCUCGUCUGCACAGUCAUGACAUUUGCUCCAGCCUUUCUGGGCAGUCUGGAAGCAGAAGCAGAAGCAAAGAACCCAGUGGCGGGAAUCCUCCAGCUAUGGCCAGCACUGCAGCCACAGUGGACAGCCAGAGACACAGGACCUUAGCGGAUGAUCGGAGAGAAUUUUACAGCAGGAAGCCUUUUUGUUGAUAUGGGUGACCUUCACCUCCAAGACCGGUACAGCCUUGUCUUGGGUUAAAUUUGGAGACCAAAUGUGAAAAAGUUUUACAUAAAAAAUAUAUACCGGCCAGGCACGGUGGCUCACACCUGUAAUCCCAGCACUUUGGGAGGCUGAGGCAGGCAGAUCACGAGCUCAGGAGAUCGAGACCAUCCUGACUAAUACGGUGAAACCCCAUCUCUACUAAAAAUACAAAAAAUUAGCUAGGUGUGGUGGCAGGUGCCUGUAGUCCCAGCUACUCAGGAAGCUGAGGCAGGAGAAUGGUGUGAACCUGGGAGGCGGAGCUUGCAGUGAGCCAAGAUUGCGCCACUGCACUCCAGCCUGGGUGACAAAGCGAGACUCCAUCUGGUCACAGGAAAUGGGUAGCUAUCCAGCUAAAUAGAUUUCAUGCUUGACUUCAGUGGAAUAGCUCAAAUGAUGAUCUGUUUGGGAGAGUAAAUUAAAGAGUUUCCAUCCGAGGUUGGUUGAAUCCACAGAUACGGAACCCACAGAUAUAGAGGGCCAACCAUACUGAGUCCUGACUUCACCCAUUCCUUCUACCCCCAUCUCUCCUAAUCCUUAAACUUCCUUGCAAUUCCUGGAGCAGAAUACUCGUGUAGGAGUCAGGGGUUGUCUUCCCUUCCUAGAAGCAAUGCUUCUAUGUUCUCAUUUGAUGUUGAAUAAAACAUUAAACAGAAAAGCUUUGAUAACAUGCGACAUUCACGAGAGAGACGAAUAGGACACGGUCAUCCGAGUGCCGAGGCGCGGAAGCGCGAACUGCCCGGAGCGACCUGGCUUGGCGCACAGACUCAUUAACCAAGCCCGAGAGGAGGCAGCAAUGCGUGUGCGGGAAAGGGAGCGGUUCUCAAAAUACAAAGUGAUAAAACAGCUUCCAGUUAUAUUGAAAAACGAUGCAAACCCUCAAUUCCUUUUUUUUUUUUUUGGACCUGGCCGGACCUGGAAAUGCCGGUUAUAAACAAGAAUAAAAACUUGAAUUUAUUGGUGGAAGUCCUGUUAAAAGAGCUCAACACAAGCAUAUGAGACAAACUGCAAGAAGCAAACAGUCUCCAUUCAGAGAGCAGGACCACACUCUGGGUUCUUGUUUAAGCGUUUGACGUGCACAUGAGACACCUAACAAAGCCUGAAACUAAAUUUAUUUUUCACUACAUCUCUCUGGUAU